GGUUUUCUCCGGUUCGGGAGAGAGACGGAGUCCCGCUCUGUCACGCAGGCUGCCAGGCUGGCGUACAGUGGCGCAAUCUCAGCUCGCUGCAACCUCCACCUCCUGGGUUCAAGCGAUUUUCUUGCCUCUGCCUCCUGAGUAGCUGGGAUUACUGGCACACACCACCAUGCACAGGGAGAUAUGAGACAUCAAUCAAUAUAUGUAAGAUGUACAUCAGUUUCGUCUGGAAAGAUGGGACAACAUGAAGCAGGGAGGGGGCUCCCUGGUGACAGUUCCUUGUUCAAAAUGCCAAGAACCUGGAUGACUCAUAGUCAAGACCCUCCACCAGUAACAUAUAUUGGCGAGCCAGCCAGGAGACCACUACAGGAAACACUCCAUUUAUUCCACCUGACUUCCCACUUGGCUGCAUCCUCAACCAUUGAAAUGAAUUUGACCCUGAUAAUCUAAGGAGGAAACAUUUGAUAUUCUUUUGCAAUAAUACUUGGCCCCAGUAUUGUUUGGAAUCUGGAGUUUGCUGUUGAAUGGGAAAGCAGGAUGACGUUGCAUGUAUCCAGGCUUUGGUGCUGCUGUCCUAAGAAGGGUCAGGCCUAGUCAGCAUAUGGUGCUCUCCUUUGGUGCUAUUUGGCUCCAGUGUCUUUGGAGUCUGAGGAGGUUUGGCCUUUAAAAAUCAAACUGCCACCGGAACUGCUUUAAAAAUGUUUGGUUCACAGCCUUCACUGGAUUACCUAUUGGAGCAAACAAAGUGUAACCAUGUAAAACCUGUGAGCUUGUAUUGAUAUCUCAUGGCUAGAGUUCCAAGCGAAUGGGUCUCAUGAGAUCUGAUGGUUUUGAAAAUGGGAGUUGCCCUGCACAAGCUCUCCUUUUGCCUGCUGCCAUCCACAUAAGAUGUGAUUUGCUCUUCCUUGCCUUCCACCAUGAUUGUGAGGCCUUCCCAGCAUGUGGAAAUGGUCCAGCCUGCAAUAACUGAAGCCCCCAGACCUGGAACCUGAAGAUCCCAUCAGCCACUAAACCUGUGAACCUGUAGAAGACCUGAAGUACCUGUUUAAAAGGCAGCCAAAAGAUAAGUAAAUUCCUAUCAACUUUCCUUGGUGUCCUUCUUGUAUAUUUACUGUAAGCUGGAUAUAAUAGUAGCCAUUUUUAUAUUUUUACAAUUUAAUUGCUUUCUUCCAAAUGGAUUGAAUCACUUCUUUUAAAGUGUUUUAAUUAAUUUUUAUCUAUAGAACAAAAUAACAAAUAAGUAUUUUUUUUUUAUACCAUAAUGGUCACCCACAGCCUGUGUAUACUAAGACCAUGCAUACUGAUAAUCAGCUUUAUUUUACAAAAGAGUUUCGCUUUACCCCUCUGGUAAUUAAUGGAUUCUGGGUAUUUAUUAAAAACUUUAACACAAAGACUGUUAAAUACCACCAGUCCAGCUUUGGCAAGGCACUGUUGGCUUUGUUUAUCUCCAUCAUCAUCCAAACAGACUACCAAUCCUGAUCCCAGCCCAAUCUUGGGCCCUUGAAAAAAUAACUUAACAUCCUAACUACAAGGGAGAAACUCCUUUCAAAUUAAUGAACCUGGCUGACUUAUAUAGCCUUAAAAUUAUGGAAAUGACAAGGGUUACAAUGUCAGAAUGAGCAGUAAACCUUCCCCAGUCCUAUCAGAGCAAACUUUCUGGGGUUGCAUCCCCUCAGAAACCCAUUUGGGGCCCAAUCUCAAUGCACAUAUCAGUGCGCAAAGCACUAAAAUUCCAGGCAACACUUUGUAUUGAGAGAAGCCAAAAUUUUGGUCCCGCCCUGGGACAUCUAAAGUCACCAAUGUAACUACACCAUACAGAUUAAACCCUCACAUGAUCAUGUAAGCUAUGCAGUUACCCAAGCUGCAUCAUUUAGAAAACCUGUACAGUUUUUAUGGAAACCAUCCCUAGUCAAGGACACUUUAAAUAUAUAGUCUAAAUACCGUUAAGGUAGGCCCACUAGCUGUGUUCACAUUUUCCCUUGGCCACCUUACCAGGGACUUUAAUAACUUGGGAAAGUGAAAACAACAAGCUAACCCACAUGUUCACCAUAGAAAACAAUUUUGUCUUGAAAAACAAGGACUCUUUUUCCCGUGUGGGACCAGUUCCUACUUAUGUUUUACCAGCCAAUUGGACUGGAACCUAUACAGUUGUUUAUUUAGCCCCCGAAAUUAAUAUAGCUCCCAACAACCAAUCCUUCAUUAUACUUUUAACUGCAACCACCAGACACAAAUGAGCCAUCCAACUGAUACCACUUUCGGUAGAGCUAGGAAUAACAGCAGGAGUAGGAAUGAGAGUUAGCAGCCUUGCAGUUUCCCUAUCCUAUUACCAAUGCUUGUCCAAGGAUUUUAUGGAAAGCUUAGGUGACAUUGCCCAAAAGUAUCAUCACCUUACAAAAUCAGAUAGAGUCUUUGGCAGUGGUGGCUUUGUAAAAUAGAAGGGGACUGGAUCUCCUAAAUGCUGAAGAAGGUGGCUUAUGUCUUUUUCCUAGAGGAAGAAUGCUGUUUUUAUGUCAACCAAACAGGAUUAGUAAGGGAUGCCACCCAAAAACUAGCCGAUUGGUACCAUAAGAUAUGACAACAGCUGUCUGAGUCAUGGGGCGCCUAGUCAAAAUGCUAAUUUGGGGCUCACAUCUCCUUCCUCUGGCCAGUCCACUAUUAAUUAUUAUACUUGCCUUGGCUUUUGGAUCAUGUUUGUUAAAUCUUUUAACCAGAUUUAUUUCUUCUUGCCUAGAGACCAUUAUGAUAAUGCAGCAGGGCCACCAGUCAGUUUCAGAUAAUGAUGUCAACCCCGGCCACCAAGAAGUAACCUUGUCUCCACUAGACAGAGCAGGUUGCAGGAAUUUAGCCAAUUCAGAGGUCUUGUUCUCCAUAAUUUGGAAUUUUCCUUCGGAUUUGAUCAAGUUGGAUAGAGUUGGUCAAACCCAAUGGGAAAAAGAUGAAAACAACAAGAAACAGAAACAAACAGCAACAACAACAACAACAAAAACAAUGCAUUUAAUUAAAUGAAGAUGAGCUCAUGCUGGAGUAGGGUGGACUCUGAACCCAGUGGGACAAGCGUCCUUAUUAAGAAGAGGGAAAUCUGGACACACACAGAGCAGAGACCGCCGUGUGAAGAUGGAGGCAGAGAUCGGAGAGAUGCUGCCACACGCCACAAAUGCCUGGGGCUCCCAGAAACUACACGGAGCCUCCCCCAGCGGCUUCAGCAGGAGCAUGGCUCGGCCAACACUUUGAUCUUGGUCUUCCAGCCUCCAGAACGUUUUCCUAAAAUUCCCUUUUCCACUGGUGUGUGGUGCAAGAUGAGGCACAUUUUCCAUGGAUGGUGAACAGAGGGAGGAGCCUUUUGAUCACAACCAGGUCACCCCACUUCUAAGCCACUGUGCCUCCAGCCCCACAAGACUAAGGAGAGAGAGCGCAGCGUGGUGGAGAGUGAGCUGUGCUGGGACCAUUGUUUCCGUAACCUCGUUUUCUGUGUCCAGCUGACACACCUUCAAAGUGGCAUCAGGUCCUAAACUGUAGCUUGCAAUGUGCCUGUUUCCAGAAACCAAGGUGAAAGUGCUUUUAGACAGUGUUCCCAUGCAAGAGUCCCUUCCCAGCUUUUUUCUGGAAAUGCAUGUUUCUCUGAACUCUGAGUCCCAAGAAAAAUCACUUGAGACACCAAGAAAAUGGGGGAAGUGCUAAAAUUGUGUGGGAAUUCAAGCUUAACAAUAAACAUCAAGACAUUUUUGAUAAAAAUGAAUCCACUGACAUCGGGGAGGAGCAAGAGAACAGCACGCUGACACUGGGUCAGAGGCUAAGACCGACAUUUCUGGGAACCACUCCCGGAAGGGCACAGAGGAGACGCUUUCAGCCUCUCAUCAGCCAGCCUGGCCUGUAGCUGCUGCACGUUAUGAGUGUGUUCCUGGCAUGACUGCUUCUAACAGCGACCAUUUCAUUAAGUUUUUAAGUGCCUGGUAAUUGCUUGGUUAUGACCGGUGUCUGCUCCAUGGCAGCCUCUUCCUGAAGAAAUGCUGAGGCAGUGUCACGCUGGUGUCUGUCCUCCUUACAGAAUGCCUGAACAGUUCCAUUGACUCAAAGUGAAGAUCAAAAGAACCAAAUGACAGCAAUAGCCAAGUGUAAUCAUCAGUAACCCUGUGUUCUAUCCACAGUUAAAAGAAUAUUGGCAGAGAAACAGCCUUGGUGUUCCAGCAGGAGUGAAGAGGAACAGGAAAACGAGUGGCAGUAGCCCUGAAACAGCCACUUCUGGUGGUUGCCACUCACCUGAGGAUAGAUGGAGUCUCGUUCUGUCACCCAGGCUGGAGUGCAGUGGCGCAAUCUCGGCUCGCUGCAAGCUCUGCCUCCCGGAUUCCCGCCAUUCUCCUGCCUCAGCCUCCCUAGUAGCUGGGACUACAGGCGCCCCCCACCAUGCCCGGCUAAUUUUUGAUAUUUUUAGUAGAGACAGGGUUUCACUGUGUUAGCCAGGAUGGUCUCGAUCUCCUGACCUCGUGAUCCACCUGCCUCGGCCUCCCAAAGUGCUGGGAUUACAUGUGUGAGCCACCACACCCGGCCCCAUUUUUAAUACGUUUUUUAAAGAUGCAUAUAAAAUGCAUUACCCUCUGGAAGAUUCCAGUAACUUACUGAAGCAAGUUUCUCCUCUACAUAUACCUAUUUCUGCCAUGAGUAACUGUUCAUUUUCAGUGAGUCAUUUGAGUUUCUGUUAUUCAGGUAUACAGAGUUCCUGUUGUCUUUUUAGUCAACAAAGUUUAACAAAGACCAUAAUAAAGAUGGCUUUCAGCAGCUCUGUUAUUGGGAAGGGUUGUAUUCAUGUGAAGAAAGAAAUUAUUUUAUUUUAUUUUUAAGUUUUAGUAGAGGGGGGGUUUUGCUAUGUUGGUUAGGCUGGUCUCGAACUCCCAUCCUCAAGUGAUCCACCUGCCUCGGUCUCUCAAAGUGCUGGGAUUACGGGCAUGAGCCACUGUGCCUGGACAGUAAUAAUAUUUUUUAAAAGGCUGACAUCAGCAGAUCAGCUAUUCUGGAAAGAUUUUUAAACACUCAGAGGUUUUUUUGUGUUUGUUUGUUUUCUUUUCUUUUCUUUUUUAGAGGCAGGGUCUUGCUCUGUCGCCCAGGCUAAGGUGGAGUGGUGCAAUCAUAGCUCACUACAGCCUCAAACUCCUGGGCUCAAACAAUCCUCACACCUUUCAUACCUUAGGCCCCUGAGUAGCUGGGUGGGACUACAGGCAUGCAUCACCAUGCUUGGCUAAUUUUUAAUUUUGUAUAGGUGGGGUCUUGCCAUUUGCCCAGGCUGGUGUCAAACUCCUCAAGUAAUCCUUCUGCCUCGGCCUCCUAAAGUGCCAGGAUUAUAGGCCUGAGCCACUACACACAGCCCGGAGUUUUUAAAAAAUACUCAAUUAAAAUGCUUCAUUUAAGUGUAUGUCUCUAAGAAAAUUUAAUAAUUGAUUAAAUAUUGUUGAAUAGACUGAAAGCACAACAUCCAAGCACAUGAAUUAAGCAAAUAAUGCAAGCAUAGCUCCCACACUCCACAAAUGUUUUCUAGUCAUUCCAAAGCCAUUCUUUUUAGAGGAUCUUUAAGAAAAUGCUUGGCUCUCAUCCGAUUAUUAUACAAGAGAUUAAGAAUUUACUGAGUUUACAGUUCUUUCUAUGAAGGAAAGAAUGAGGUCUACACCCAAAAGAAACAUUGGGAUUUUCAUUUAAGUAAAGCUGUAUUCUCAUUUAAAAUGGUACUAGUGCUCUUGUUGGCAACAGACACAUGAAGCAAAAUUUUCCUUUUACAUUUGAAUUUCAACUGCAUUUAAAGUGUUAUAAAUACCAUGACUACAUAAGCUAAGGGAAUGAAUGUAUUAACUCUGAUGCAGUCUGUCAGGUUUUAACAGUAGUGAAUCUUGGGAUCGGUACAUCUCAUUCCAGUAUAGCUAUGGUAAAUGACAUAGAGAUCGCUGAAUUGUUGUAUUUCCAGGACUUUUCAAAAGUGACUAUUAAGGUUGGCUGUGGGAUCUAGCAGGUUAUUGUCCUAGAACACUUGUGGCCUUCUCCUAAAACAGACUGGGAAAAUUCUGGUUCUUUAUUCACUGACAUCUCAAAGGGCAAAGAGGGAGGCACCAUGACAUUCUGCAGUUGCAGGCCUCUCAGGAUGAGACUGUAUUUUUCCAUACAGCAAUGUUGAUUUGAUCUGGCCUAAUUCUCCGAUUGAUGUGGUGAGAGGCAGGACUACUUGGGAAUGUAUUCACUGUGCCUGAUUUCUCUCUGGGCAAUUUAUUUGGUCAUCAAUCUUUUUAUCCUCCUGACAUUUGAUUUCUAGAUAUUGGCCCAAAUUCCAUAAGAUAGGAAUUUUUGUUCUGAAUUUUAAUAACAUAUGUAUUUUAAUUAAUAGUAUAUUUUAAAAUAAAAGUAACACGACAAAAAGAAAAAACAAAGACAAAAAAGUAACCUAAGAAUAUAUGCUCAAAAGUGCCAAAAAUACAAAAGACUACAGAAUUUUUAAAAUAGAAGCUUUUUGUUCAACUUGCUGCUCUUCUUCCCACUUCUUCAAUUCCAUUUCUUUUCCUAUAGGUGAUCAUGGCUAACAUUUUGGUGUUUGUCUUUCCAAAGUGUAUAGUUAUAGAUCUGAAUAGAAAUGUAGAUACAGAGAUAUCAAAGAUGAGCAUGGGCUAAGCACUCAACAAUAAACUACGUUGGGUCUAUUUUUCAAAGUUACUCUCAAAACAAGAAUACAGAUUGUCCAUUAAACAUACUGGAAUUUUAAUACAUUCUUUUUUUUCCCCCAGAACAUUUCUGAUUUCAUAUAUUCUGGCAUGUUUCCUGCCAUGUGGCAAACCAUAAGCUGAAAGAGAUAUAAAUAUAAAUAACACUAUGUCUAACAAAAUUUGCUCAGAAUAUGCUAAAGCAUUAGUAUAAAUGUCUACAUCUUAAGUCAGAGCUAAAGAACAAGUUUCUCUCAGUAAAUCAAGGAAAGCCAGGGGAAAAGACCAUAGAGAAAAAGGAUAUGGGUGCCUGUAUGAAGCAGGGGAGGUUUUUGACUCCAGUGCACCUAAUUAGCAAAUAAGUAUCAUUCAUCUGUGCUGUGGUAAGCACUGCAGUAUGCAUAAAUAGAAGGUGUGAUACCUGCCUCCAAAGGGCUUACCAUCUACUGAGAAAUCCGACUAAUCAGACAGGAAAGACUCAGAUAAUGAAGGCUUGCAUAAGAGCCUGAAUCUGAUAAGGUAAUGAACAAAAGACAGCCUCUACAGGUUUUUAUAGAUAGAAAUGAGAUGAUAAAAUCAAAUUUAAACAAUGUAUCUUAACUCCCUUCCGGCCUUUCAUUUCCAUUCCAUGAAUGCUACCCUGGCUUAGGCUUUCAUGACUUUGCCUAUUUGCAGUGACCUUGUAUUCAGCACUCUGCCAUCUCUCCCACUACUUCCUCCCAAGCCAUCCUGAACACAGGCCACAUGUUUGAUUUUCUAAUCGUACACAAGGGAACGUCUCUGCUCAAAAGCCAAAAAUGACUCUUCUUUGGCCACCAAAUAAUCUGAACUUUUUGGUGUGAAACUCAAGGCCCUGCCAGAAACAAUAUUAAUCUCCUUCCAGACUGUCUCCCAUUUCCUAAUAUUAACCCCUUGCUCUGUUGAAAUUGAAGCCAUUUUCCAAAGCCACCUCUGUGAUGUCCUUAUGUAAUUCCCGCCCUCUUCUUGUCCUCCCCUGCAACCCUAUCUCCAUAGAAAAGCAGUCAGAAAAACCACCCUAGGAAUUGAUGCAGUAAUCCAGGAGUGAGAUGAGGAUGGGAGGGAGAGGGUGAGCAUGUGGGGAUGAGGAGGAGGGUGGGACACAGGGAGUAGCCACAGACCUUAAUGACUGAUGGCAGAUAGGGUGUGAAGGAGAGAGGUGAGUCAAAGGUAACUUAUUUUCGGUUUUAGGCAACAAAUACAAAUCUUUCUCAAUAACUACUCAUCCCACAUCCUUGUGGCUAUUGGAGGUUGAUAUUUAUUUCAUACUGCCUGUAUAACCUGGGACCAUAUAUAAUUAAUGAUGAUUACUCUGUAUUCUAGAUCACGAAUAUAUAUAUCUAUAUAAAUAUAUACAAAUAUAUAAAUACAAAUAUAUAUAUAUAUAUAUAUAUAUUUACCUUAAUGCAGGCACAACCAAAUACUUUACUUUUGGAGCCAGAUGUCUUUAAGAUACACUCUAAAAUAUUAUUGUGGAAUUAGAUACACUGCUUUCCACGUAAACCAUUAAUAGAUACAUUGAAUAAGAAUCUUUAUUUCAUUCCCAGUGUGGUUUGGAGUAUAAGACUUAGGAAAGUGUCUGUGAAACCUACAGUGAGAAAUUCCACUGGGUCUUGACAGCUGGAGUGAGCACUCAAAUGUGCCCAGCACUUUUCUCUAGCUCCCUUCUCUGCUUGAGCUGUGGUCUGCUUUCUCCUUCUCUGUAGCUCAGAUCAUCUUCCUCCACUUCUCAGCCCACAUGUCUAACGUGGCUGGGACCAGCUCAGAGUGUUUCAAAUGUGUAGGUGCUCGGAGAGAGAGAGACCCAACCCUCUUAGACUCAGGUACACAUUCUCAGGGAAGAAAACUGGAACCAGUAGAAAUAUCAGAUCCCUAUGUUCCCUGACGAGUGCUUCCUUCUCUAAGAAGAAAAACCUACUAAGAAGACAAAUUACAGCUGGAAGGUUGUUUGGUAAGCGUGGAAUCACCUAUCUAAUCUCCCAGCAAGUCUUAAUUGCUCUACCAUAAAAAAAAAGCAACCCAAAUCCAUCCUUUUCCCAGCUUCACUCCCUAGUCCAAAGCCACCAUCCACCCUUGUCUAAACCUCUGCAGGACUGUCUUUGCUUAUUUCUUUUCUUUUCUUUUUCUUUUUCUUUUUUUUAAGCGGAGUCUCACUCUGUCACCCAGGCUGGAGUGCAGUGGCGCGAUCUCGGCUCACUGCAAGCUCUGCCUCCCGGGUUCACGCCAUUCUCCUGCCUCAGCCUCCCGAGUAGCUGGGAGUACAGGCGCCCGCCACCAUGCCCAGCUAAUUUUUUUGUAUUUUUAGUAGAGAUGGGGUUUCACUGUGUUAGCCAGAAUGGUCUCCAUCUUCUGACCUCGUAAUCCACCCACCUCAGUCUCCCAAAGUGCUGGGAUUACAGGCGUGAGCCACCGCACCUGGCCCUGUCUUUUCUAAUUUCUUAACUAUCAUUUCUAUCCCCUUAGAAUUGAUUCUCCACUCAGCAUGCAGAAUUAUCCCUUUGAAAAUCAGAUUAUAUUCCUACCUAAACCACCCCCAAUAGCUUGUGACCUCUUAGAAUCUAGAUUCCUUAACAUGGCCUCAAGGGCCCACGUGACCCAGCCCCUGCCUGUCUCUCUACCUCAUCUCCUACUGCUCCUGCUUUUGUUCCUUCCACUCUAAUCACUUGACCUCCUGACCUCAGUCAUGCUAAUAAACUCAUGCCUCAUUUAGAUUUAUUUUCCUAGUGGAAGAAAAUGCAUUGAUCUGUGAACACAAAUACAUGGUUUAUCUGUUACAGUUCUCAUUGCAUGUCAACAAACUGACAUUCUGAUGUGUACAUCCAUCUCUUAUGAGUCUGCUUAGUGUGAAUCUGCCCCCUCUGGUAGUACUGACAAGAUUGUGUUUCUCAGCCCACAGAGCUAAGACACAGACUCAUGAGACCCAGUCUCUGUCUAUACCACUAGAGUUCUACUGCCCCUGAAUGGCAUUGCCUGCACAGACAGCUGGCCUUCCUCAGCAGACACACAGCCUUUGUACCAUAUAACUCUUCAGACUUGCUAUGAUGUACCAAUGUCUUUCCUUGAAAUGCUCUUCUGAAAAUGAUAAAUGCUAAAACUGAUUACAAUGCUAUUGAAAGUGGAUGAGCAAGUUGAUCUGCUGAGAUGUGAAAACAAAUUCUAUUUUAAUUUUUAAUCUAAAAUAUUAGAAAGAAUUUUGUUUCCUAUACUUUGCUAUAUUUAGUAAAUAUACACUAAUAUAAGAAUUUUGCUUUACUAAAACAGUAGAACCCUCAGUUAGCCAGGCAGUCAUCAUCUGUCACAUAAAAGGUGUCCUGAGGAGGAAUGGGAGUGCCUCCCCUGGGGAAGAGGCUGAUGGUGGCUCUGGCUCUCAGUCAGUCGCUUUCCUUAUCUUGGUAUUUACUGUCAUUUAUCUGGGCUUAGCUAAACAGAUUUAUAGAGAAUUAACUCUCACAAAAUGGGAACAUAAUUUAAAAGAUUUCUGCAAAGAAUUGGACAGGAACUCUUGUCAAAAUUGUAAGCAGAAGAAAAGAAAAAAAGAAAGGGACAGAGCCGACAUUUCUCAUACUUCUGGUACAAGCUCCUCAUCACAUUCAUUGUGUUGUAAAAAUAAUGGUGAUCUAGUAACAUCUGACAAGGUCAGCCAAAAUGAUACAUAUAAGAAUUUAGCUCUCCACCUAGGAGGGCUAUUAGCAAUAAAAUUUCCAUCUACUAUAACUUAUAAUUAACUUUGACCUAUAUGUGUAUUUCCCUUGAGAUUGGCCAAUGAUUGAUUGAAACUACCACAAUUAAUGACAGAUAAAAUAGCUUUUUUAUUUUAAAAUUUCUAUUUUGUGGGUAUUAUAGAAUGUAUUUUAUAUAUUAAUAUACAUAUAAUUAUAUACUAUUAUAAUCAUAUAUUAAUAUUAACAUAUAAUUGUGUGUGUUCAAAAAUUUUUAAUGGCACAAUCAAAAAACUUUAAAGACCACUGGAUUAAAAGAUGGUAUUUAGGGCCCAGCACAAUGACUCAAGUCUGUAGUCUCAGCACUUUGGGAAGCUGAGGUGAGGGGAUCGCUUGAGCCCAGGAGAUCAAGACCAGCCAUGGGCAAUAUGGCAAAACCCCAUCUCUACAAAAAAUACAAAAAUUAGCCAGAUGUGUUGCAACUGUAGUCCCAGCUAUUCAAGAAACUGAAGUGGGAAGAUCACUUGAGCCUGCAAGGUCGACGCUGCAGUGAGCCAUGAUUGCACCACUCCAGCCUGGGAGACAGAGCAAGGCCUUGCUUCAAAAAAUAAAAAUAAAAGAUGACAUUAAGAAGAAAUCUGAUCUCAUUGUCUUUAUUAUCAAGUGAUUGAAGGCUAUAAUCAUUAUUUAAUAAUCUUGUAGAUAAUGAUUGUACUUGAAAGUGGGCUAUUAAUAACUAGAUAUAUCUAG
rnacentral:lncRNA from 1 species